rnacentral:rRNA from 1 species
AGCUCCAAUAGCGUAUACUAAAGUUGUUGCAGUUAAAAAGCUCGUAGUUGGAUUUCUGGUAGUGCACCCAGGUCCUCCCCUCGCGGGGUGCGUACUCGGUGUGUGCUACCAUCAUCGAGGAGAACGUAUCGGGCAUUAAGUUGUUCGGUUCGGUGUCCUCGUCAUUUACUGUGAGCAAACUAGAGUGUUCAAAGCAGGCUUAUGCCGUUGAAUACAUUAGCAUGGAAUAAUAAGAUAUGACCUCGGUCUAUUUUGUUGGUUUGUAUUCCAAGGUAAUGAUUAAUAGGGACAGUUGGGGGUAUUCGUAUUCAAUUGUCAGAGGUGAAAUUCUUGGAUUUAUGGAAGACGAACUACUGCGAAAGCAUUUACCAAGGAUGUUUUCA